rnacentral:rRNA from 1 species
GUGCCAGCCGCCGCGGUAAUACGUAGGCAGCAAACGUUGUUCGGAAUUACUGGGCGUAAAGAGUGUGUAGGCGGUUUUGUAAGUUUGGUGUGAAAUCUCCCGGCUUAACUGGGAGGGUGCGCCGAAAACUGCAAGGCUUGAGUGCUGGAGAGGAGAGCGGAAUUCCUGGUGUAGCGGUGAAAUGCGUAGAUAUCAGGAGGAACACCGGCGGUGUAGACGGCUCUCUGGACAGUAACUGACGCUGAGACACGAAAGCGUGGGGAGCAAACAGGAUUAGAUACCCUGGUAGUCC